AUUGAACGCUAGCGGCAUGCCUAACACAUGCAAGUCGAACGAGUGGCGGACGGGUGAGUAAUAUCUGGGAACGUGCCCGAUGGAGGGGGAUAACUACUGGAAAGGGUAGCUAAUACCGCAUACUAUUGGAGCUGCCGAGAUGGGAUUAGCUAGUUGGUGGGGUAAAGGCUCACCAAGGCGACGAUCCCUAGCUGGUCUGAGAGGAAGACCAGCCACACUGGAACUGAGACACGGUCCAGACUCCUACGGGAGGCAGCAGUGGGGAAUAUUGGACAAUGGGCGCAAGCCUGAUGCAGCCAUGCCGCGUGUAUGAUGAAGGCCUUCGGGUUGUAAAGUACUUUCGGCAGGGAGGCGUUACUCGCAGAAGAAGCACCGGCUAACUCCGUGCCAGCCGCCGCGGUAAUAC
rnacentral:rRNA from 1 species